GACUUUAGGUGCUGCAGACUAAUUACAGACUAGUAAUUGCUACACAAGUUGUCGUAUCACAUUACAUCAACUUAACAUUGUUUCAGAAGAGCAGCAAAACAGACAGGCACAACUUUGUUUCUUUUUGACAAAACAAUUUGUAUUGAUAACAUUUUAAACAUUUAAGUUUGAAUGGGGCAUGUCAAUCACUUUUUGUCUGUGAUUUUUCUUUUCCUCUCAACCACUUUAUUAAUAUGCUUAUGGCAGACUUGCAUGUACUAGAGAGGAUGCAUCUUCAGACUGUCAAGCAGGGGUUUUCUUACAUGUAUAUAUGCGCACACACACACACACACACACACACACGUGCAUCAUGCAACACAUCACAAAAUGCAACUGAAAUGAUUUAAAUGACUUUUAGUCUUUUAAGUAAUUGGAUAUUUCAUAAUGUUAUUGCUUACAUUUCAGUUUUGACUUAGAAAUGCGCUGCUACAGAAUAAACGUUCCAGACUAUUCGGUCACAUCGAUUAUUUAUCAAGACUAAAUGUUAAGUCAUCAUGUUAAGUAAUUUGUGCAGAAUCUAAUUAAUAUCAAUAGGCAAUUAAAAAACAUCUCAACUUGCACAUCUGUGUCCCACAACUUUCUAAAACAAAGGAAUGCCUACAAUUAUAUGCGUGUCAAGAUUGUUGCUACAACUGUACCUAUAAGUGCAAAGGCCUGCAUUGAGGUAAACAAAAAACAACUUCAUAACCUUAUGUGCUAAAUUAAUGCUUUACAGUGAUUGAAAAUUUCUCAUUUUGGGAAAUAAAUGGCGUACACAUUCCACACCGGGUUUUGUUGCUGGACUAUAUAUGGGUGAAGCUUCUGACACUGUUAUAACAGCGAGAGCACAGUAACCAAGGAAACAAGGAAACAGGCCUUCCUUAACUCAGGUUGCAGAAGUGAGAAUCGAUAAAUCACUGUGGUCAAGACAGAGGCUUAAGUCAGGAGAGAGGAGAAUAAAGUGCUUUUGUUGGCUUUUCCAGUUUGGCGAGCUCAAGGGAGAUUCAUGCAUCAUUCAGAUCACUCUGCCCAUCUUUUCGCCUCGACUGUCCUGGUGUCCUUUGUAUCGCGGACCUCCCACCACAACGCACAUUCCCGGAGUCAAUGGGGUAUAUAGAACUCAUCAUUUUGAGACUUUUCUCAGUUCGACAGACAGACUGGGUAGGACUACAAGAAGACGCAGUACCCUGUCAACCGCCACCUGUUACGGCCCACAUUUCAGACACUUCCAGAGCCACAGAGCACAGAAGGUAGGUGUCAUCGGGUUGUGAAAACACCUCACACGCCAGCAUCAGAAACACCACACCAGACUCGGAGAAAUGAGUGUGAUAUAAUGAGCAGUCCAUAUUAAUGACCCUGGCACAGUCCUAUUUAAUCACAGCCUUGUAGAGGUGCGAUCUUUGUAGAGCUUUACAGUGAUCAAUAAAGUUUCCCAGAAUCCACCA
ensembl:lncRNA